GAUGAAGAACGCAGCGAAAUGCGAUAAGUAAUGUGAAUUGCAGAAUUUAGUGAAUCAUCGAAUCUUUGAACGCACAUUGCGCCCCUUGGUAUCCCGAGGGGCAUGCCUGUUCGAGCGUCAUUUCACCACUCAAGCCUGGCUUGGUGUUGGGCGACGUCCCCUUUAGGGACGCGCCUCGAAACGCUCGGCGGCGUGGCACCGGCUUUAAGCGUAGCAGAAUCUUUCGCUUUGGAAGUCGGGGCCCCGCCUGCCGGAAUACCUACUCGUAAGGUUGACCUCGGAUCAGGCAGGGAUACCCGCUGAACUUAAGCAUAUCAAUAAGCGGAGGA
rnacentral:misc_RNA from 1 species